AUACGGAGGAUGCAAGCGUUAUCCGGAUUUAUUGGGUUUAAAGGGUGCGUAGGCGGUUUGCUAAGCGGGAGGUGAAAUGCCGGCGCUCAACGUCGGAAGUGCCUCCCGAACUGGUGGACUUGAAUGACUCUGCCGUGGGAGGAAUGUGUAGUGUAGCGGUGAAAUGCUUAGAGAAUACACAGAACACCGAUUGCGAAGGCAUCUCACGAAGGGUUGAUUGACGCUGAGGCACGAAAGCGUGGGGAUCAAACAGGAUUAGAUACCCUGGUAGUCCACGCAGUAAACGAUGAUGGCUAACCGCUGGGCUUAUCAGUUCAGUGGCCAAGCGAAAGCGAUAAGCCAUCCACCUGGGGAGUACGACCGCAAGGUUGAAACUCAAAGGAAUUGACGGGG
rnacentral:rRNA from 1 species